AAUAAGAAAUGAUUUUUAGGUUCAUAUAAAGUUAAGUGUAUAUGAUUAAAAGGGAAAGUGGUUAAAAUCCACUACAGCCCCCGCUACUGUGAUGGAAGACUAAUCUCUAAAGUAUAUAAUAAAAGUGCUCAUUAAUUAAGAAUUGGCUGCUUUUAAAUAGUAUACUAAAAAAUCCACUGAGAAAUUUUCUUGGGAAGGAAGAGAAUUAGGAUGAGGCCAAAGUCAGGAGACCUGCCUAGGAGUUUAUAAAAAU
rnacentral:ncRNA from 2 species